rnacentral:rRNA from 1 species
AUUGAACGCUGGCGGCAGGCCUAACACAUGCAAGUCGAACGAGUGGCGGACGGGUGAGUAAUGUCUGGGAAACUGCCUGAUGGAGGGGGAUAACUACUGGAAACGGUAGCUAAUACCGAAUACCACCGGAGGUGCCCAGAUGGGAUUAGCUGGUAGGUGGGGUAACGGCUAACCUAGGCGACGAUCCCUAGCUGGUCUUAGAGGAGGACCAGCCACACGGGAACUGAGACACGGUCCAGACUCCUACGGGAGGAAGCAGUGGGGAAUAUUGCACAAUGGGCGCAAGCCUGAUGCAGCCAUGCCGCGUGUGUGAAGAAGGCCUUCGGGUUGUAAAGCACUUUCAGCGGGUAGGCGUUACCCGCAGAAGAAGCACCGGCUAACUCCGUGCCAGCAGCCGCGGUAAUUC